rnacentral:rRNA from 1 species
GAUGAACGCUGGCGGCGUGCCUAAUACAUGCAAGUCGAGCGAACGGACGAGAAGCUUGCUCCUCUGAUGUUAGCGGCGGACGGGUGAGUAACACGUGGAUAACCUACCUAUAAGACUGGGAUAACUUCGGGAAACCGGAGCUAAUACCGGAUAAUAUUUUGAACAGCAUGGUUCAAAAGUGAAAGACGGUCUUGCUGUCACUUAUAGAUGGAUCCGCGCUGCAUUAGCUAGUUGGUAAGGUAACGGCUUACCAAGGCAACGAUGCAUAGCCGACCUGAGAGGGUGAUCGGCCACCCUGGAACUGAGACACGGUCCAGACUCCUACGGGAGGCAGCAGUAGGGAAUCUUCCGCAAUGGGCGAAAGCCUGACGGAGCAACGCCGCGUGAGUGAUGAAGGUCUUCGGAUCGUAAAACUCUGUUAUUAGGGAAGAACAUAUGUGUAAGUAACUGUGCACAUCUUGACGGUACCUAAUCAGAAAGCCCCGGCUAACUACGUG